rnacentral:rRNA from 1 species
AACGAACGCUGGCGGCAUGCCUAACACAUGCAAGUCGAACGAGACCUUCGGGUCUAGUGGCGCACGGGUGCGUAACGCGUGGGAAUCUGCCCCUUGGUUCGGAAUAACUUCGGGAAACUGAAGCUAAUACCGGAUAAUGACGUAAGUCCAAAGAUUUAUCGCCAAGGGAUGAGCCCGCGUAGGAUUAGCUAGUUGGUGGGGUAAAGGCUCACCAAGGCGACGAUCCUUAGCUGGUCUGAGAGGAUGAUCAGCCACACUGGGACUGAGACACGGCCCAGACUCCUACGGGAGGCAGCAGUGGGGAAUAUUGGACAAUGGGCGAAAGCCUGAUCCAGCAAUGCCGCGUGAGUGAUGAAGGCCUUAGGGUUGUAAAGCUCUUUUACCCGGGAAGAUAAUGACUGUACCGGGAGAAUAAGCCCGGCUAACUCCGUGCCAGCAGCCGCGGUAAU